AAUGAACGCUGGCGGCGUGCCUAACACAUGCAAGUCGGACGAGAAAGCUUGAUUUCGGUCGAGCGAGUAAAGUGGCGCACGGGUGAGUAGCGCGUAGGCAACCUGCCCUCGAGACUGGGAUAACAGGGCGAAAGCCCUGCUAAUACCGGGUACGCCCCACGGGAUGGGUCCUGUGGGGGAGAGGGGGGCCUCUCGAGGAAGCCCCUGCUCGGGGAUGGGCCUGCGUCCUAUCAGCUAGUUGGUAGGGUAACGGCCUACCAAGGCGACGACGGGUAGCUGGUCUGAGAGGAUGAUCAGCCACACUGGCACUGGAACACGGGCCAGACUCCUACGGGAGGCAGCAGUGAGGAAUUUUGCGCAAUGGGGGAAACCCUGACGCAGCAACGCCGCGUGGGUGAUGAAGGCCUUCGGGUCGUAAAGCCCUGUCGGGUGGGAAGAAUCGAUCGGGGUCGAAUGGACUGCGGUCAUGACGGUACCACCAGAGGAAGCACCGGCUAACUCCGUGCCAGCAGCCGCGGUAAUACGGAGGGUGCGAGCGUUAUUCGGAAUUACUGGGCGUAAAGCGCGUGUAGGCGGAGGGGUAAGUCUGAUGUGAAAGCCCCGGGCUCAACCUGGGAAGUGCAUUGGAAACUGCUCUUCUUGAGUGCUGGAGAGGAAGGGGGAAUUCCCGGUGUAGAGGUGAAAUUCGUAGAGAUCGGGAGGAAUAUCAGUGGCGAAGGCGCCCUUCUGGACGGUUACUGACGCUGAGACGCGAAAGCGUGGGGAGCAAACAGGAUUAGAUACCCUGGUAGUCCACGCUGUAAACGAUGAGCACUAGGUGUAGCGGGUACUCAUUCCUGCUGUGCCGCAGCUAACGCGUUAAGUGCUCCGCCUGGGGAUUACGGUCGCAAGACUAA
rnacentral:rRNA from 1 species